GGCUCCCAUAUUUUCCUCCUUGUGUUUAUCAAAGAAACGAUAUUUUCUCAUUUGAUCUCUUCGAUUCUUAUGAUUUUUUCUCACAUAUCGUUCCAAAAAUGUCAAUGCGAAGAAAUGCAGAGCUUUUGAUAAUAUGGGUUUGAAGUUUCAGAUGAUGGUUUGGAGUAGAAUGACGUGAUUCAAUUAAAAGAACUACUAUAUUUGAGUUUAGGGUGUCCGAAAAUUUUCUAUUUAUUUUUUUCUUUAGAGGUUUUAUUUUGGGGAUUUUGAGAAUGGAAACUGAAUUGAAAUGGAUUCAAUUGAGAUUCGGAGUCACAAAUGGAUUCAACUAGUUUCCUGAAGAGAUCAAAAUAGAAGCACGCCAAAAUCAUCAAAAAUCAAAGGCAAGAGCGGAGAAAAAUUGAGGUUGGGUACAUAGAAACAUCAUGUUUACGAGAACCACGAUUUUUUGAGAUUGGUUAAUAAUUCUGAACGCAGCAAUAUUAUUGACUGCAAUGAAACAACUCAGUGCCUGGAUUUAUUUGAGAAGUAAUUUGUGAAUAAAAGAAAUAGAAAUAAGUCAAAUUUCUUUUCACCACCUUGGUAUCUUUUUGAUUUUUGUUUUACUUUAUAUGCUUGUAUACCAGUCAUGCUCAAGUUCAGUGCAUAGAUGUUAACUCAUUUUAUAUUUUUUCUCUCAUGCUCCAACAUUGCUUCAUAUUUGUACACUGGAUUACUCUCUACAUUUAUCUUUUUUUACCAAACCUCAUUCGAUGGAUGUUUCAAUUAGGCUUUACAGGUGGGGAAUAUGGAUGAAAGAGAGUCUGGUGAAUCAUCGACACCUGUUGUCCAAAAGUAACUGUAAGGAACUAGUGAUUGGAUGCAUCUUGAGGAAUCUAAAUAAGAAAAAGAAAUUAGUUGUGCCUGGGAGUGUUAAUUUUAGUACACCACCAAAUGAUGAAAGUUACAGCAUCUUAUGAUGAAAUUAUCAAAAGCAACGUGGAUCUAUGUGUUGGAGAUGGAUUUUUUUCCCGGGGAUAGCUUGAAGGGCCACAAAGUAGCUUUUGUUGUUUUUGUUUCUUCUUUGUUGUUUUGAUGUAGCUUUUGUUGUUGAAUUCAGAGAUGCUUGGGCUGUUAAGUUGUUAGCUGAAAUCAAAGAUAGUAAUUUUUAUAGAAUGGGCUGCAUUUCGUACAAAA